rnacentral:lncRNA from 1 species
CAGGGAAAUCCCCCAAGUGUAGGCCUGUCUGCUCUACAGUGAACCUCUGAGAGCUGAGUUGCUCCGGGCCACCUGCCGAAUCUUCAUAUGGCACCCCUUCAACCUUGGGCGAUGGUGAAAUCACCGACUCUCAGGCUCCCCCAGUUGUCUCACAUGGACUGACUGACAGUUCCACUAGCUACCGCCUAGCACAGCCCCCACUUCAUCCCUUUCUGCUUCCAGCUCUCUUGGCAACAGGAAGAAGACGAGACACCAGAGCAAGCUUUCUCUCUCUGCGCCGUACUGCACAAAAAAGAGACCAUGUGAGGACACAGCGAGAAGGUGGUUGUCUGCAAGCCAGGAAGCAGGCCCUCACCAAGAACCAACCUGCCCGUGCCUUGAUCUUAGACUUCCCAGCCUCCAGAGCUGUAAGAAAUAAAUGUCUGAUGUUUAAG